GAUGAACGCUGGCGGCGUGCCUAAUACAUGCAAGUCGAGCGAACAGACGAGGAGCUUGCUCCUCUGACGUUAGCGGCGGACGGGUGAGUAACACGUGGAUAACCUACCUAUAAGACUGGGAUAACUUCGGGAAACCGGAGCUACUACCGGAUAAUAUAUUGAACCGCAUGGUUCAAUAGUGAAAGACGGUUUUGCUGUCACUUAUAGAUGGAUCCGCGCCGCAUUAGCUAGUUGGUAAGGUAACGGCUUACCAAGGCGACGAUGCGUAGCCGACCUGAGAGGGUGAUCGGCCACACUGGAACUGAGACACGGUCCAGACUCCUACGGGAGGCAGCAGUAGGGAAUCUUACGCAAUGGGCGAAAGCCUGACGGAGCAACGCCGCGGGAGUGAUGAAGGUCUUCGGAUCGUAAAACGCUGUUAUUAGGGAAGAACAAAUGUGUAAGUAACUAUGCACGUCUUGACGGUACCUAAUCAGAAAGCCACGGCUAACUACGUG
rnacentral:rRNA from 1 species